rnacentral:lncRNA from 1 species
AUGUUACCUCAGUAUGUGAGCAAAGGAAAGGCACUGAUGGCUAAAAUAAAGACAGAGCCCCAGAGCUGCAGCCUGUUCUGCCAGAAUGAGACAGCAAAGCUUGCUGUAAGACUGUCCUGUACCUAUGGUGUAACAUGCUACACAGAACAGAAAGGACCAAAAUCUGGCCUCAAGUCACUCUCUGUUCUCAGGUCCUUGGUGGAAGAUCACACUGAUGUGCUGCCAGAUUCAAGAGGUGGCAUCUGCCAACCACAUUCCCCUCCCAGCUGCAUCACUCCUCUGCUCUCCUCUCUGUGCAUCACAUCUGGGGAAGGAAAUAUCUUCCCUCUGUUUCCUUCCCUCCCUCCCACUUCUUUUACAAAUUACAUUCUUGAAUGACCUUACUCUGUUCUUCUUUUCAGCUGGAGUUACUAUUUUCAUCACUUCUGUAUUAAAGAGGUUCUAUUUGCAAAUUCACACAUCAUUGUCAUAAAUUAAUAUUAAUAUCAGCAUUUCAAUAUGAAUAAAUAUUGGAAACUGAAGACUCUCUGCUUCA